rnacentral:rRNA from 1 species
UGGGGAAUAUUGCACAAUGGGCGCAAGCCUGAUGCAGCCAUGCCGCGUGUAUGAAGAAGGCCUUCGGGUUGUAAAGUACUUUCAGCGAGGAGGAAGGCGGUAAGGUUAAUAACCUUAUCGAUUGACGUUACUCGCAGAAGAAGCACCGGCUAACUCCGUGCCAGCAGCCGCGGUAAUACGGAGGGUGCAAGCGUUAAUCGGAAUUACUGGGCGUAAAGCGCACGCAGGCGGUCUGUCAAGUCGGAUGUGAAAUCCCCGGGCUCAACCUGGGAACUGCAUUCGAAACUGGCAGGCUAGAGUCUUGUAGAGGGGGGUAGAAUUCCAGGUGUAGCGGUGAAAUGCGUAGAGAUCUGAGGAAUACCGGUGGCGAAGGCGGCCCCCUGGACAAAGACUGACGCUCAGGUGCGAAAGCGUGGGGAGCAAACA